rnacentral:rRNA from 1 species
UACGGGGGAUGCAAGCGUUAUCCGGAAUCAUUGGGCGUAAAGCGCCUGUAGGUUGUUUAAUAAGUCUGUUGUUAAAGACUAGGGCUUAACCCUAGAAAAGCAAUGGAAACUACUAGACUAGAGUAUGGCAGGGGUAGAGGGAAUUUCUAGUGUAGCGGUGAAAUGCGUAGAUAUUAGAAAGAACACCGGUGGCGAAAGCGCUCUACUGGACCAUUACUGACACUCAGAGGCGAAAGCUAGGGUAGCAAAAGGGAUUAGAUACCCCUGUAGUCCUAGCCGUAAACGAUGGAUACUAGGUGUUGUAUUUAUUUUACAGUAUCGUAGCUAACGCGUUAAGUAUCCCGCCUGGGGAGUACGCUCGCAAGGGUG